AGGGAUCAAACCCUCACACCUCCAGUGGGAACAUAAAGUCUUAACCACUGAACCACCAGAGCAGUUUCUGAACCUCCUUCUUUUAAAAGGCACAAGGAUGGACUGAACUUCUUCAUCCCCCUGAAGAUAAGCAUGGCCACAAGACAUGCUCUAGCCAAUGAAUAUGAUCAGGAAACUAGAUCUCACAUGCCACAAUGAACAGUUGCAUGCCCCAACUAAAGAUCCCACAUGCUGCAACUAAGACCCAGUGGAGUCAAAUAAAUACAUAAACAUAUAAAGAUUUUUAAAGUAAUAAGCCAAAAGCUGAAGAUUCUUGGACAUUUUGAAUCUCAUCAGAGGCCUGGGACUCUGAGUGCUAAAAACUCAUUAUCCAGGGUGUUCUUCUUUCUGAACAAUCAAGAGAAGGUAGAAUUCGGUCAAAACAAUUCUGUACCUUCAGGUUUCCAAACGGAUAACUGGAAAGAAUCUAGACUUCUUAGGAUCUAACAAAAACUCUCCUGAAAUUAGAAGUAUCUACUGAGUGCCCACUCUUUAUAUAUAAGAUGAUGUUUGACAUUGUGGGAGAUGCUUAGCAGUAGAGAAGCCUUUUCUUUCUUUCAAGGAACUUACAACCUAAUUAGUGAGUUCAAACUGAACAUCAGGAAACAUCAACUCAUAUUUUUUUCUUAAAAAACUUCAGGUAAUGAUAAACAUGAUGCCAUGAAGCAGUGCAAUCAGUGACCAAAUUCACCGUGUAUAAAAAUCCCUAUAGAUGGGCUGAAGGAACUCUAUCACCACUACAAACCCAACAGUAGUUUGCACCCUACUUUAUCCUCACAUCCACUGUUAAUGUACUGUCAGUACCUUACAGCUGAGACUGGUACAACUGGAAGAGUCAGAGAGGAUACUCAGGCUCUCAAGGCACAUAGCAGCAGAAGAAAGAGUUCCUUAAAUUCUUGGCAGUUUAUAACCAAAAGCAAAUAAGCUGCUUUGUGAGGCCUGCCUCGUUUGGCCACAUGCCCUCAGUGUAACAGUGAAGAGACUAGAGGAAGGCUAAGGCCCAAGACCAGUAAACUGUAGCAGCUACCUGGCCAUCACACCCUGCACGCCCCCCUCACCCCUGCUCCAGAUGACUGGCAGUAACAGGCAAGGGUGCUGCCAACUCACUGGGAAACAGGUAAGCUCCUCACUGCUCAUAAGUUAUGGCACCCAGAGGGAGCCCUCGAGAAUCUGCCUUGGGAUUAAAGUAUAAGCCAGAUCUUAUUAAGAAAAAUUUGAUUAUAACAAGGAGACUGGUACCUAAUUCAACGACUCCCCUCCCCUCCCUUAGCCUGGCCCAAACAAACCUGUGCUGUACAAAAAUCGCAUGACAUCAUGGUUCAA